ACAUCCAGAGAAUUUAGCAGAGAUGCUUUAGUGCCUUCGGGAACUCUGAGACAGGUGCUGCAUGGCUGUCGUCAGCUCGUGUUGUGAAAUGUUGGUUAAGUCCCGCAACGAGCGCAACCCUUUAUCCUUUGUUGCCAGCACGUAAUGGUGGGAACUCAAAGGAGACUGCCGGUGAUAAACCGGAGGAAGGUGGGGAUGACGUCAAGUCAUCAUGGCCCUUACGAGUAGGGCUACACACGUGCUACAAUGGCGCAUACAAAGAGAAGCGACCUCGCGAGAGCAAGCGGACCUCAUAAAGUGCGUCGUAGUCCGGAUUGGAGUCUGCAACUCGACUCCAUGAAGUCGGAAUCGCUAGUAAUCGUAAAUCAGAAUGUUACGGUGAAUACGUUCCCGGGCCUUGUACACACCGCCCGUCACACCAUGGGAGUGGGUUGCAAAAGAAGUAGAUAGCUUAACCUUCGGGAGGGCGUUUACCACUUUGUGAUUCAUGACUGGGGUGAAGUCGUAACAAGGUAGGCGUAGUGCU
rnacentral:rRNA from 1 species